rnacentral:rRNA from 1 species
AUUGAACGCUGGCGGCAGGCCUAACACAUGCAAGUCGAGCGAGCGGCGGACGGGUGAGUACUGUAUGGGGCUCUGACUGAUGGAGGGGGAUAAUUACUGGAAACGGUAGCUAAUACCGCAUAACAUCAGAUGAACCCAUAUGGGAUUGGCUGUUAGGUGAGGUAACGGCUCACAUAGGCGACGCUCCCUAGCUGGUCUGAGAGGAUGAUCAGCCACACUGGGACUGAGACACGGCCCAGACUCCUACGGGAGGCAGCAGUGGGGAAUAUUGCACAAUGGGCGCAAGCCUGAUGCAGCCAUGCCGCGUGUAUGAAGAAGGCCUUCGGGUUGUAAAGUACUGUCAGUCGGGAGGCGUUACCGACAGAAGAAGCACCGGCUAACUCCGUGCCAGCAGCCGCGGUAAUUC